GGUUAAGCGACUAAGCGUACACGGUGGAUGCCCUGGCAGUCAGAGGCGAUGAAGGACGUGCUAAUCUGCGAAAAGCGCCGGCGAGGUGAUAUGAACCUUUGACCCGGCGAUGUCCGAAUGGGGAAACCCAGUGCAAUUCGUUGCACUAUCGUUAACUGAAUACAUAGGUUAACGAGGCGAACCGGGGGAACUGAAACAUCUAAGUACCCCGAGGAAAAGAAAUCAACCGAGAUUCCCCCAGUAGCGGCGAGCGAACGGGGAGGAGCCCAGAGUCUGAAUCAGUUUGUGUGUUAGUGGAAGCGUCUGGAAAGUCGCACGAUACAGGGUGAAAGUCCCGUACACGAAAGCACACAGGCUGUGAACUCGAAGAGUAGGGCGGGACACGUGGUAUCCUGUCUGAAUAUGGGGGGACCAUCCUCCAAGGCUAAAUACUCCUGACUGACCGAUAGUGAACCAGUACCGUGAGGGAAAGGCGAAAAGAACCCCGGCGAGGGGAGUGAAAAAGAACCUGAAACCGUGUACGUACAAGCAGUGGGAGCCCCACCACUAAGCCAGUGGUGAGUCCACGUCAGCAUCCUUUGCCGAAGGUAAGGUUAACGGAGCGCAAGCGACGUUCAACCUCAAAAGAAGCAGAGGGGGCUUAGUGGUGGGGUGACUGCGUACCUUUUGUAUAAUGGGUCAGCGACUUAUAUUCUGUAGCAAGGUUAACCGAAUAGGGGAGCCGAAGGGAAACCGAGUCUUAACUGGGCGUUAAGUUGCAGGGUAUAGACCCGAAACCCGGUGAUCUAGCCAUGGGCAGGUUGAAGGUUGGGUAACACUAACUGGAGGACCGAACCGACUAAUGUUGAAAAAUUAGCGGAUGACCUGUGGCUGGGGGUGAAAGGCCAAUCAAACCGGGAGAUAGCUGGUUCUCCCCGAAAGCUAUUUAGGUAGCGCCUCGUGAACUCAUCUUCGGGGGUAGAGCACUGUUUCGGCUAGGGGGUCAUCCCGACUUACCAACCCGAUGCAAACUGCGAAUACCGAAGAAUGUUAUCACGGGAGACACACGGCGGGUGCUAACGUCCGUCGUGAAGAGGGAAACAACCCAGACUGCCAGCUAAGGUCCCAAAGUCAUGGUUAAGUGGGAAACGAUGUGGGAAGGCCCAGACAGCCAGGAUGUUGGCUUAGAAGCAGCCAUCAUUUAAAGAAAGCGUAAUAGCUCACUGGUCGAGUCGGCCUGCGCGGAAGAUGUAACGGGGCUAAACCAUGCACCGAAGCUGCGGCAGCGAACGUAUCACUUAAAGCGAUUUGAUAAGGUUAAACGAUUGACGGAGCGAAGCGAC
rnacentral:rRNA from 1 species